rnacentral:rRNA from 1 species
AAUAGAUACCCAGGUAGUCCACGCCGUAAACGUUGGAUACUAGGUGUGGCGUCCCGAUCAACGGAUGCCGUGCCGAAGCUAACGCAUUAAGUAUCCCGCCUGGGGAGUACGGCCGCAAGGCUAAAACUCAAAGGAAUUGACGGGUCCCCGCACAAGCGGCGGAGCAUGCGGCUUAAUUCGAUGCAACCCGAAGAACCUUACCUGGGUUUGAAAUCAUGGGAAAAGCUGUAGAAAUACAGUGUCCGUAAGGGCCCAUGACAGGUGGUGCAUGGCUGUCGUCAGCUCGUGUCGUGAGAUGUUGGGUUAAGUCCCGCAACGAGCGCAACCCUUGUCCUAUGUUGCCAGCGGUUCGGCCGGGGACUCAUAGGAGACUGCCGGGGAUAACUCGGAGGAAGGUGAGGACGACGUCAAGUCAUCAUGCCCCUUAUAUCCAGGGCUGCACGCAUGCUACAAUGGUCGGUACAACGGGCAGCGACCCCGCGAGGGUGAGCGAAUCCCACAAAGCCGGCCUCAGUUCGGAUUGGAGU